rnacentral:misc_RNA from 1 species
CAAAAUAGAACCAUAACACCAAGAUAGAAACUAACAAAAGCACUUAGGCAGAACACCCAAACAGAAAUCGGACCUUCCAUUUCUUCAGAUGACUUGCCGGGAACUGCUGGAAGGCUUGCUGGGCCGCAGUCUCCACCAGAGGACUCCAAGCACAAAUCUGGAUUACCAGCAAAUGCUCCUGGAAACCUGCGAUAGCCUUCCUUCUUGGGAACAAAUCCAGAAAAACUGUUAUAUGAUAAGUUCAAGAGUGUAAGAUCUUCAAGGCUGGAGAUGUUCCCUGGGAUAUGACCUGAUAGAGAAUUAUGUGACAAAUCCAAUGCCCUCAAACUACACAUCUUCUCCAAAUCUGGAACCUCACCAUCGAGAAAAUUGUACGAUAAGUUAAGGUACUCCAAACCUUGCAGUCCAAAUAGGCCAUCUGGAAUCUCCCCGUGCAAUAAAUUAUCAGACAAAUCAAUCCCUACAGCUGAAGAUAGAUGGUAGCUGAAGCUUAAUUCAUUGCCACCAAUGACCAACACUGAUAUUUUGAUCUCCACAUUUCGCAUCACAUCAAAAGGCUCCAUGGCUAAUCUUUGAACAAUGUCUCCAUUGUUGAAAUUCAAGCUAAUGUUGAAGUUACCAUCUGGUAUGAAACCAGAGAAUUUGUUGCCAGAGAAAUUCAUCGUUUGGAUUGCUUCAAAUGAGAAUAGCCAACUAGGUAGGCUUCCACUGAAUUUGUUCCGAGCCAGGGAGAGAUACUUGAGAUUUGACCAUUUAGUUAUUGCAUCGUUCAGAUUCCCAGAGAGAUUGUUGGAACUGAAAUCUACUAUCUCGAGUGAUUUACAGCCUGCCAAAGUCAGAGGGAUCUCACCAGAAAUCUUGUUGUUACUUAUAUCCAAUAUCUUCAAGCUAUCCAAAGCAUCAAGUUCUGGUUGAAUUUCACCAGAAAGAUUAUUGUUAUUGAGUACCAAUGCAAGUAGCUGAAAGCAACCAACAAUAUUUAAAGGAAUCGAACCCGACAAUGAGUUGUGAGAAAGAUCUAUCACUUGAAGAUAAGUCAAAUUUCCAAUCCUUGCUGGGAUUUCCCCACUAAGAAAAUUGUGAGAAAGAAACAAUGCCUGCAGACUUUUCAGCUCUGUUAUCUUCAAUGGGAUACCACCUGAGAAGCGAUUGUGAGAUAGGUCAAGGAGAACCAACCCUGAUUUAUCUGUAGUCUCUGCAAUCUUG